GCUCCCGGCAGGCUCGCCCGCAAUGGGGACUCAACAAACACCCCGCAGUACCCGUAAACAGUCUGAACAAACUCUAAAAAAUAAAAACCCUCAACAACGGAUCUCUUCGGUUCCGGCAUCGAUGAAGAACGCAGCGAAAUGCGAUAAGUAGUGUGAAUUGCAGAAUUCAGUGAAUCAUCGAAUCUUCGAACGCACAUUGCGCCCUUUUGGUAUUCCUUAGGGCAUGCCUGUUCGAGCGUCAUUGAAACCUUCAAGCUCAGCUUGGUGUGGGGUGACUGUCCGCUUGCGGACUCGCCUCGAAAUGAUUGGCGGCCGGUACUUUUGGCUUCGAGCGCAGCAGAAACGCGAACUCGAGGCCUGUGUGCUGGCUCCCAGAAGCUAUCUUCACAAUUUUGACCUCGGAUCAGGUAGGGAUACCCGCUGUAACUUAAGCAUAUCUAAAA
rnacentral:rRNA from 1 species